UUUUCUUUAGCUUAAAGGCAGAGCAUCAGUUUGAAGAGCUGUUGGUAGCGGAAGCUAGGA
rnacentral:tRNA from 1 species